AUUGAACGCUGGCGGCAGGCCUAACACAUGCAAGUCGAACGGUAGCACAGAGAGCUUGCUCUCGGGUGACGAGUGGCGGACGGGUGAGUAAUGUCUGGGAAACUGCCCGAUGGAGGGGGAUAACUACUGGAAACGGUAGCUAAUACCGCAUAACGUCGCAAGACCAAAGUGGGGGACCUUCGGGCCUCACACCAUCGGAUGUGCCCAGAUGGGAUUAGCUAGUAGGUGGGGUAAUGGCUCACCUAGGCGACGAUCCCUAGCUGGUCUGAGAGGAUGACCAGCCACACUGGAACUGAGACACGGUCCAGACUCCUACGGGGGGCAGCAGUGGGGAAUAUUGCACAAUGGGCGCAAGUCUGAUGCAGCCAUGCCGCGUGUAUGAAGAAGGCCUUCGGGUUGUAAAGUACUUUCAGCGGGGAGGAAGGCGGUGAAGUUAAUAACUUCACCGAUUGACGUUACCCGCAGAAGAAGCACCGGCUAACUCCGUGCCAGCCGCCGCGGUAA
rnacentral:rRNA from 1 species